rnacentral:tRNA from 2 species
UCUCUGUUAGUAUAUCGGUUAGUACACGCGCCUGUCAUGAUGAUUGUUCGCGCGAAAGCUGGGUUCGACUCCCAGACAGAGAG